rnacentral:rRNA from 1 species
UACAGAGGUCUCAAGCGUUGUUCGGAUUCAUUGGGCGUAAAGGGUGCGUAGGUGGCGCGGUAAGUCGGGUGUGAAAUCUCGGAGCUUAACUCCGAAAUUGCAUUCGAUACUGCCGUGCUUGAGGACUGGAGAGGAGAUUGGAAUUCACGGUGUAGCAGUGAAAUGCGUAGAUAUCGUGAGGAAGACCAGUGGCGAAGGCGGAUCUCUGGACAGUUCCUGACGCUGAGGCGCGAAGGCCAGGGGAGCAAACGGG